GGGUGGUAAUGCCGGAUGUUCCACAUGAUCGCAUGUGAUUGUGGGAAAGAUUCUAUCGGCGUGGGAUGGGGUCGCGUCCUAUCAGCUUGUUGGUGAGGUAACGGCUCACCAAGGCUUCGACGGGUAGCCGGCCUGAGAGGGCGACCGGCCACAUUGGGACUGAGAUACGGCCCAGACUCCUACGGGAGGCAGCAGUGGGGAAUAUUGCACAAUGGGCGCAAGCCUGAUGCAGCGACGCCGCGUGAGGGAUGGAGGCCUUCGGGUUGUAAACCUCUUUUGUUUGGGAGCAAGCCUUCGGGUGAGUGUACCUUUCGAAUAAGCGCCGGCUAACUACGUGCCAGCAGCCGCGGUAAUACGUAGGGCGCAAGCGUUAUCCGGAUUUAUUGGGCGUAAAGGGCUCGUAGGCGGCUCGUCGCGUCCGGUGUGAAAGUCCAUCGCUUAACGGUGGAUCUGCGCCGGGUACGGGCGGGCUGGAGUGCGGUAGGGGAGACUGGAAUUCCCGGUGUAACGGUGGAAUGUGUAGAUAUCG
rnacentral:rRNA from 1 species